rnacentral:rRNA from 1 species
CCUACGGGUGGCAGCAGUGGGGAAUAUUGCACAAUGGGGGAAACCCUGAUGCAGCAACGCCGCGUGAGUGAAGAAGUAUUUCGGUAUGUAAAGCUCUAUCAGCAGGGAAGAAGAUGACGGUUUCUGAGUAAGAAGCCCCGGCUAACUCCGUGCCAGCAGCCGCGGUAAUACGUAGUGGUCAAGCGUUAUCCGGAUGUACUGGGUGUAAAGGGAGCGUAGACGGUGAGGCAAGGCUGAAGUGAAAGCCCGGGGCUCAACCCCGGGACUGCGUUGGAAACUGGCUGACUGGAGUGCUGGAGAGGCAAGCGGAAUUCCUAGUGUAGCGGUGAAAUGGGGAGAUAUUAGGAAGAACACCAGUGGCGAAGGCGGCUUGCUGGACAGUAACUGACGUUGAGGCUCGAAAGCGUGGGGAGCAAACAGGAUUAGAUACCCCUGUAGGC